UGUAAUAAUCAGCAUGCCUUGCAAUAUUUUGCAUUUCCUCAGUAAUGGCAAGAGUAUGAAAAGGAUUGAAAAACAUAAAACAAAUAUAAAUAAUGUGAAGCAACUAAUAUAAGAUUCAUGAUAUUGCUCAUUAUCUUCCAGAAUACUUUAAUAAUCUUUAACAUAUAAUGGCCAAAUAAAAUCUAUCAAAGAAUCUAUAACCAGAACUACAAAGAUUUUGUAGUCUUGCUUUAUAUUAACAUGCAUUUUAUUAUACAUGUACCCUAAAUAUUAAGGAGAGAUACAUAUUGAUUUGUAAGUUUGUUCAUCUGUACAUUUGUCUGUUUGUCCGUAAAAACAAGUUUUUAUGCUACAUAGCUAAAAAUAAAAAUGUGAGAAAAAAAAUCUAGCUAUUCUAUAAAAUUCCACAUAGUAUAAACAAUUUUUAAUAACACAGAGUUCAGAUUUUUUCUUUAUAUUUUAAAAAUGAAGGGAAAGUGAUGUAUGAAUCCUAUUUGAAAAAAGAUGUUAUUGUUACUUCACAGCGGGGUAAAGGGUUAAUGGACAAUACAAUGGCAGCAUAGUUUUGUCACAGUACUAGGCGCUGCAGCUAAAGAAAAUUGCAGAUUUUGUAAGGGAUCUACCACCAGAUUUACUGCACUGCUGAUAUUUGGGUGAGAUAUAUUUUUUGAUAUUGCUAUCCUCCAUGCUCAGUUGCUCCACAGAUUUACAGAAGGAAAACAUACAACUAGCCAUUAACAACACUGACUGGAAUGGUAUCCAUCACAAAUGUGGAAGUUCUUUUAUCUUCUACCAUAAAUCUAGUCAAAGGAAGGAUUUUAAAGCUGUUGUUCAGCUUGCUCCAUUUUUAGUGAAAAGGGGCUGGAUAUGAGCAGGUAGUACAACUUUAGUGUAUGCUAGCAGAGGUUUCCAGAGACCAUAAGAAAACAAAAAAUGCAGCACAAUUUGCAAACUGAAGACAAUAUAAGGAUGCUUGGUGUUCCAACUGAGUACACAAAAGAGUUAAUCCAGCAAGACAACAGUUGAGGAAAUAUGCCAUGCAGUAAUUCAGAGUUUUGUGUGUGGAAACCAAACUGAAAGUAAUGAUGGCUCCAAUUAUAUGUAUAAAGAGGAAGAAGUGAUAUAUUGUGAAAGAUCCUGGAAUGUUCAACUGUAUUUAGAAACUAUUGGAUAAAUACGGACAGAAUUUACACCUGAGAAGCCAGUAUCAUCUUUUCUUGCAAUUGGAAACUAUAUGUAAACUGCUGAAACUUGAGAACAACAUUAAAAGCCAAGAUCAACAAUACACAUGCCUUUGCUUUAUCUUUUACCUCUGACCUAAAUGACCAUAAUUUACAUCAUUUGGCAUUUGUUGU